rnacentral:rRNA from 1 species
UCCUACGGGAGGCAGCAGUGAGGAAUUUUCCGCAAUGGGCCGCAAGCCUGACGGAGCGACGCUGCGUGAGGGAUGACACGCCUUCGGGUUGUAAACCUCUUUUUAUUGGGGCGAUAAUGACGGUACCAAUAGAAUAAGCAACGGCCAACUACGUGCCAGCAGCCGCGGUAAU